ACGGAAUAGAUACCCGGGUAGUCCACGCCCUAAACGAUGGAUACUAGGCGUGGGAGGUAUCGACCCCUCCCGUGCCGCAGCCAAACGCACUAAGUAUCCCGCCUGGGGAGUACGGCCGCAAGGUUGAAACUCAAAUGAAUUGACGGGGACCCGCACAAGCGGUGGAGCAUGUGGAUUAAAUUCGAUACUAACCGAAGAACCUUACCCAGACUUGACAUCGAUUGAAAAACUCUGAAAGGAGUUCCUCCCUCACAAGGGGACAUGAAGACACUUGUUGCAUGGCUGUCGUCAGCUCGUGCCGUGAGGUGUACGGUUAAGUCCGCCAACGAGCGCAACCCACGUCCUGUGUUACCAGCGAGAGAGUCGGGCACUCACAGGAGACCGCCGGUGUAAGCCGGAGGAAGGUGUGGAUGACGUCAAGUCAGCAUGGCAGUUACGUCUGGGGCUUCACACAUGCUACAAUGGGCGCAACAAAGGGCCGCGAUACCGCGAGGUGGAGCCAAUCCCAAAAA
rnacentral:rRNA from 1 species